rnacentral:sRNA from 1 species
CGCCCGUCCAGCCUUCUCACAUCUUCUUUUUCCCAUUUUGUUCCACCAUUACGGACGCAAAAUGGACUCCUUCUGUUUUAGGUAUUUUUCUAGCACUACUACGUAAACAUAUAAUCCAUACAAAAGUACACGACGACGCCCAUUUCCCAGUAGAAAAUCCACCGUUCGGAAGUUGUUACCCAAAUUCCCCAGACACUGCUCAAAAUAAAGCUUUUGGCGGACGGAGGAGUCCAGCGCCGUUGUCGAUGAAAAAUUCUGGGCCAAAUCAGAAAGAAGGCAAAAAGGCCUUCACCGCCCGAGUCCAGCUACGUACCAACGGCUAUUUCCCUUUUUCUAUAUGAUCGCCCUUAGACACGACACAAGCCCUCGACGGGUCUCCCUAGGUCGCCCCUUACUCGUAUGUUAAAAGGCCCUGAAAGACCUAAAAAUCCGCCGUGCAGGAAGGGGUUCUGUUUCUUGCCAAAACCCUCAUUUUCCGCGUCUUCUCGAGGAGAGGAUCUCAGGGACAAGUAUCUGUUUUUAUGGAGAAAAAAAUUCCGCUUCUAUGGAAACACGAUGAUCGGUCUUUGAUUCUACAUUCUUGCAGGCAGGGAAGCGACAGCGCAGCCCCCAGCAGUAGCAGUAUAUAAUGACUGCAGUGGCUACCUGCGAACUGCUGUCUGCUGGCUGCCGCACUGUUGGCGAUGAUAUUCUCUUGCUUGAUUCGCCGCAAGUUUCCUGUAUAUAAAAAUUGCACAUUACAUUCAAUAGAAAUCGUUCGAGGGGUCUGCUGAAGUAAUCCAAGGGUCCUAUGCUCGAAUGAGAAGAUACAAGGAGUACAAUAGUAGUGCGUUAAUAGAAGAGAGAGGCCCCCUAUGUGGUCGAUCAAUUAAGGAUUGUUCAUUCAUAAACAUCGCGCAUGCCGUGCUGCCAGCUGGGAAGACAUGAAAGACCACCAUUAUGGCCAUUGUUCCAGAUGCACUAUGAUGUUCUAUCUGCUGGGUUCCCUCCGCACGCCCAUACCCAACAAAAAGAGGUCUAUCUCGAGUGCAAUGGGCCAUAGUUCCAAGGAAAAUGGGAAGAAGGAAAAAAAAUCGCCAGUUAGGAAGAAAUAGACAGCAGGAAAUGAGGACAUCUCACAGCUUCAAGGCAGGAACGGAAGACAGAAAACUCAGCCCACAAAACAUCAUCUGUUUGAAAAAAAUUAUGGUGUGCGGUGUCAGAUUCAAGACGAUACGAUGAUAGAAGUAGUGGAUGUUGAACUAGAUUUUUCGUCGGGCAAGUAUAGGUUGAGUUGGGGGAGGAAGUAAAGGGGACAAUACCAGCCGUGGCUGUAAUUAGGAUCUAUCUGCCGGACUGUGGCUUGAGGGCUAAUACAGUGUGAUAUACUUCGGCAAGCUACAUGAAUCAGCAGAAGAUCAACAUCAUC